CCUCGUGAACUCAUCUCCGGGGGUAGAGCACUGUUUCGGCAAGGGGGUCAUCCCGACUUACCAACCCGAUGCAAACUGCGAAUACCGGAGAAUGUUAUCACGGGAGACACACGGCGGGUGCUAACGUCCGUCGUGAAGAGGGAAACAACCCAGACCGCCAGCUAAGGUCCCAAAGUCAUGGUUAAGUGGGAAACGAUGUGGGAAGGCCCAGACAGCCAGGAUGUUGGCUUAGAAGCAGCCAUCAUUUAAAGAAAGCGUAAUAGCUCACUGGUCGAGUCGGCCUGCGCGGAAGAUGUAACGGGGCUAAACCAUGCACCGAAGCUGCGGCAGCGACGCUUAUGCGUUGUUGGGUAGGGGAGCGUUCUGUAAGCCUGCGAAGGUGUACUGUGAGGUAUGCUGGAGGUAUCAGAAGUGCGAAUGCUGACAUAAGUAACGAUAAAGCGGGUGAAAAGCCCGCUCGCCGGAAGACCAAGGGUUCCUGUCCAACGUUAAUCGGGGCAGGGUGAGUCGACCCCUAAGGCGAGGCCGAAAGGCGUAGUCGAUGGGAAACAGGUUAAUAUUCCUGUACUUGGUGUUACUGCGAAGGGGGGACGGAGAAGGCUAUGUUGGCCGGGCGACGGUUGUCCCGGUUUAAGCGUGUAGGCUGGUUUUCCAGGCAAAUCCGGAAAAUCAAGGCUGAGGCGUGAUGACGAGGCACUACGGUGCUGAAGCAACAAAUGCCCUGCUUCCAGGAAAAGCCUCUAAGCAUCAGGUAACAUCAAAUCGUACCCCAAACCGACACAGGUGGUCAGGUAGAGAAUACCAAGGCGCUUGAGAGAACUCGGGUGAAGGAACUAGGCAAAAUGGUGCCGUAACUUCGGGAGAAGGCACGCUGAUAUGUAGGUGAAGUCCCUCGCGGAUGGAGCUGAAAUCAGUCGAAGAUACCAGCUGGCUGCAACUGUUUAUUAAAAACACAGCACUGUGCAAACACGAAAGUGGACGUAUACGGUGUGACGCCUGCCCGGUGCCGGAAGGUUAAUUGAUGGGGUCAGCGCAAGCGAAGCUCUUGAUCGAAGCCCCGGUAAACGGCGGCCGUAACUAUAACGGUCCUAAGGUAGCGAAAUUCCUUGUCGGGUAAGUUCCGACCUGCACGAAUGGCGUAAUGAUGGCCAGGCUGUCUCCACCCGAGACUCAGUGAAAUUGAACUCGCUGUGAAGAUGCAGUGUACCCGCGGCAAGACGGAAAGACCCCGUGAACCUUUACUAUAGCUUGACACUGAACAUUGAGCCUUGAUGUGUAGGAUAGGUGGGAGGCUUUGAAGUGUGGACGCCAGUCUGCAUGGAGCCGACCUUGAAAUACCACCCUUUAAUGUUUGAUGUUCUAACGUGGACCCGUAAUCCGGGUUGCGGACAGUGUCUGGUGGGUAGUUUGACUGGGGCGGUCUCCUCCUAAAGAGUAACGGAGGAGCACGAAGGUUGGCUAAUCCUGGUCGGACAUCAGGAGGUUAGUGCAAUGGCAUAAGCCAGCUUGACUGCGAGCGUGACGGCGCGAGCAGGUGCGAAAGCAGGUCAUAGUGAUCCGGUGGUUCUGAAUGGAAGGGCCAUCGCUCAACGGAUAAAAGGUACUCCGGGGAUAACAGGCUGAUACCGCCCAAGAGUUCAUAUCGACGGCGGUGUUUGGCACCUCGAUGUCGGCUCAUCACAUCCUGGGGCUGAAGUAGGUCCCAAGGGUAUGGCUGUUCGCCAUUUAAAGUGGUACGCGAGCUGGGUUUAGAACGUCGUGAGACAGUUCGGUCCCUAUCUGCCGUGGGCGCUGGAGAACUGAGGGGGGCUGCUCCUAGUACGAGAGGACCGGAGUGGACGCAUCACUGGUGUUCGGGUUGUCAUGCCAAUGGCACUGCCCGGUAGCUAAAUGCGGAAGAGAUAAGUGCUGAAAGCAUCUAAGCACGAAACUUGCC
rnacentral:rRNA from 1 species